GGAACCUGAUGCUGCUGCUCAGUAGACAGCGGCGCUCUGUCUGAAUGGGAGCUCGCCUUCUCUCCAGCGCAGGGUGUGCUCCGAGUCCCCAGCUUUCUAACGUGAAGAGGACAGUCUGCCUCCAGCAGAGUGUUGGUGUCCGAACAUCACCGGAAGACGACAUACCAACAUGUGACUCAGUUUCUUCAUCUGAAUGAUGGGAAUUAAAACACCUGAUCAGGUUUCCAUCCAGGGGGUUGUGAAGAUCACAUGAGAAAUGAGAUGGCCAAAAGAAAGGUAAGAAUUACAUUUCUCCCAGUAUUUAAAUUCUGGGAUCCAAGUUAAACCUUUUUGAGAAUGGCUGUUCUGCUUGGCUAUUAAUUACAAGCUGCUGACGCCCCAAAGGGCUAUUUCUUCCUUCAUUUUCAAGGUGCUGCAGGUCCCAUCAGGUGACCCUGUCUCAUUACUUUCACUAAGGAACCUGUAUUGGUUUGCUGGGGCUGCCAUAACAAGUACCACAGGCAGAAACAACAGGCACUUACUCCCCUACAGUUCUGGAGGCUGGAAGUCCAAGUUCAAGGGGUCGGCAGGGUAGGUUUUCUCUGAGGUCUCCCUCCUUGGCUUGUGGCUGGACGGCUUCUCCUCGUGUGUUCACACACGUGUCUCGGAAGACUGACGGGACUCCCACUGUUCACACACGUGUCUUGGAAGUCUGAGGGGACUCCUGCUGUUCACACACAUGUCUCGGAGGUCUGACGGGACUCCCAUUGUUCACACACGUGUCUCGGAAGUCUGACGGGACUCCCGCUGUUCACGCACGUGUCUCGGAAGUCUGACAGGACUCCCACUAUUCACACAUGUGUCUCGGAAGUCUGACAGGACUCCCACUAUUCACACAUGUGUCUCGGAAGUCUGACAGGACUCCCACUGUUCACACAUGUGUCUCAGAGGUCUGACGGGACUCCCACUGUUCACACACGUGUCUCGGAAGUCUGAAAGGACUCCCACUGUUCAUACACAUGUCUCGGAAAUCUGACGGGACUCCUGCUGUUCACACACGUGUCUCGGAGGUCUGACGGGACUCCCUCUGUUCACACACAUGUCUCGGAGGUCUGAUGGGACUCCCGCUGUUCACACACGUGUCUCGAAAGUCUGACUGGACUCCCGCUGUUCACACACGUGUCUCGGAGGUCUGACGGGACUCCCACUGUUCACACA
rnacentral:lncRNA from 1 species